rnacentral:rRNA from 1 species
AUGCUGCGCUACCUAUCACUUGUUUACCAUGCCUCCAAAGUUGCCAUGUUAGCCUCUAACCUUUUCACCCUUCCUAGCAAACCAUUGUCUGCUAUGUUACCGCUUUGCUCAGCCCCUCUUAUAGCGUUGUUAGUUGCAGGUGAAGUUGAAGAUUGCUCCAUGAUGGACAGGAUUAUAUUGGGAUAUCACAAUAUCUCUUAUAUUAUUAAUGCAUCUAUAUAUUUGGUAAAGGGUGGAAGACUCGGCCUUUUGCCUGGUGUUUUGUUCCACUCUUGCCGCCCUAGUUUCCAUCAUACCGGUGUUAUGUUCCCGGAUUUUGCGUUCCUUACAUGGUUGGGUGAUUUAUGGGACCCCCUUGACAGUUCACUUUGA